GGUGAUGAUGAUGGUGCUUAUUUAUUUCUGACACCUCUUGUAUGAGAAGAGCCUUCAAAUAAGGUCUUCGCUGAGCAUAUUAAGCAAACUAUCUGAGCC
rnacentral:snoRNA from 1 species